rnacentral:rRNA from 1 species
AAAACGACUCUCGGCAACGGAUAUCUCGGCUCUCGCAUCGAUGAAGAACGUAGCGAAAUGCGAUACUUGAUGUGAAUUGCAGAAUCCCGUGAACCAUCGAGUCUUUGAACGCAAGUUGCGCCCCAAGCCUUUUGGCCGAGGGCACGUCUGCCUGGG